rnacentral:rRNA from 1 species
CCUACGAGGAGCAGCAGUGAGGAAUAUUGGUCAAUGGGCUUACGCCUGAACCAGCCAAGUCGCGUGAGGGAAGACUGCCCUAUGGGUUGUAAACCUCUUUUGUCAGGGAGCAAUUGGCGCUACGUGUAGCGUUAUCGAGAGUACCUGAAGAAAAAGCAUCGGCUAACUCCGUGCCAGCAGCCGCGGUAAUACGGAGGAUGCGAGCGUAAUCCGGAUUUAUUGGGUUAAAGGGGUGCGUAGGCGGAAUGCCAAGUCAGCGGUAAAAUCGCGGGGCUCAACCGCGCUCCGCCGUUGAAACUGGCGUUCUUGAGUGGGCGAGAAGUAGGCGGAAUGCGUGGUGUAGCGGUGAAAUGCAUAGAUAUCACGCAGAACUCCGAUUGCGAAGGCAGCAUACCGGCGCCCAACUGACGCUGAAGCACGAAAGCGUGGGGAGCAAACAGGAUUAGAUACCCGGGUAGUC